CAUAUAUCAUUUAGAAAAUCUAAGAUAGCUAACAACUAACGAAAAAAGUGAAAAUGAAAAGAAGAGAGAGCUGGGGUUAUUAUGAUAGAAUUUUCUUUUAGUAAAGUCAGUUAGAACACGUGUGGUACUAAUCAUGAUUAGCACUAAGCCCCUCUUGAGAGCAAUGAUUCAUUCCAUAGUCUCCCCCACAUAGACAUCUUCAACACACACACUAUAACUUUUUCUAAUCUCCUUCAGCAUCUUUG
rnacentral:lncRNA from 1 species